UAUCUUACUUGUAUUUGAUAUGAGUGUUUCCACACUCUUUGAUUAAGAGGACAACUAAUUCAUAUGGCACAUAUUGACCUAUACUCCAUAAACGUUAUUGUUCUUAUUAAUAACAUAUCAUUUGGUUGUGAAUAAAUCUAAGAACUAUUUGAUAAAUCUUUCUUUAUCGAUUAUAUUAUAGUUCUAAGGACUUCAUCAUAACAUAAGA
rnacentral:lncRNA from 1 species